GGUUGGAUGGCCGAGUUGGUCUAAGGCGCUGGAAUCAGGAUCCAGUCUGGAAACAGGCGUGGGUUCGAAUCCCACUUCAACCA
rnacentral:tRNA from 40 species